UGCCUAUGCACGUCUGUGUGCUGGAAAU
rnacentral:piRNA from 1 species